UUUGUAAUUAAAAUGAAACUUCCAUGGCAAUCGAGCAUUAUUUAUUCAAAUAGUUGAGAAAGUUGAAUUAUACUCAGUAAUAAAUAGUUUAAAAUGUGUGCUGCUGACUGCUGUUUGACACUUUGGCACAAACGGAAUAAAAAUGGAAGGGAAAACUUUAACAACUCAUAACUACGAGUGCCCACGGAUGCGUCCGAACAUUUUCUCUGUGCGAGAGGAAAACCAAUUAAACUUUUAGCCCCCAAUAGAACCGAGGGACGUAAAGCCGCAAAAAGUGGGGCGAAGCAUUAAGAAUGUUAUGCUUAUCUACAGCCGAACGAAGCCUUUGGGCAUAAAACGCAUAACCAUAUAGUACAUACAGUAGAUAUGUAUGUACAUAUAUGUAUGCUCGUAUUUUAUAUGUGAAUGCAUGUUGGAAUCUCUUCGGGACCGUUCCAUGCAGCGUCUAUUAAAAUAAAAGCUUUUCCUCCGGCGCAAGCGAAGAGCCACAAAACUUUUGUGUGGGCAUAAAACACAGUUCGGUUGAUGUGGAGCGAAAUGUGGCAUAUUUCAAAUUAAUUAAACGGUCAGGGUGGAACAAAACGACUGAGCCAUGGCUAAUAGCCAUGCACGACCGAAAGAAUGGAAUAUAAAAAAUAAAUAUCAAUCCAGCAGCGGUAACUUAAUUAAUUAACUUUUGUUUAACACUUCAGUGUGGUGCAGUAACGAUUUUCUAUAACCAAAGCCAGCGCUAUAUUGUCAUCACUGAAACGAGUGUAUUCCGAUUGAGAACUCGCUCUCCGCUUGACAGUCAACAGUCAACAGCUGCUGAUUAACACAAAACGACAACAAAACGGCGGAGACAUCACAACAGCAACAGAAACAGCAAACACAGAUAUGUCAAGCGAAUCACCAGACCGGUUAGACCCCAAAACCCCAACAAAAUGCAAUGCUCCGCCGCACCAAUUAACUACAAUUACCCAUGGAGAGCUAGUGUACUCACAAACAUCCAUUUGGUCAAGAAGUACAUGGUCAGCUCCAGAUGCACUUGCUCUGCAGUUCGCGGGGUAUCCACAUGCCCCGAAACUAACUCACGCGACUAUCUAAUCUCUCGGCGAACUACGCUUAGCGUGCGUACACGGUGGGAAAUAUUUUCGAAUCGGUAGAUAAGCAC